AGAAAAUAGCAGUUUCCAAAACGAAAAAUCAAAACCUUUGUCCUCUAUUCUUUGUUUUCAAAAAACCUCCCCCUCUCCAAACUCAAACCGGGGUCCGUUGUCUUCUCCUCUCCUUUGCCCUGAGCACGAAAUCCAGGACUCCACCACUCAGGUAAAGAUCUUCCCCCUUUUUCAAGCUUUCUUUAGCCAAAUGAUGAGCAAGAGAGUUUGCCGAUCUUGAAAUGUGCCUGAAAAUAAUCUGUUGAAAGUUCUCUUUAUAUUGUUGAACGUUUUUAGUAAUGGCUCCUAUCUCUAAUUUAUCCUCACUAUCUAAUUUGGAUUUCUUUAUUGUUGUAAAUGAGUCCCCUUCGAUUAUCACACACUCAAUCCCCAUGCGAAUGCCUAAUCACAACACUUGAAUGCACGCUUGCGCUUCAGCAGCGAACGAAGAAGAGAUUGCUUUAUGACCCAUGGCCAUGGAAGCUAAGAUUUCCCCCAGUGGGUUCCAUACCACCACCUCCGAUCCAGAUCUUGCAUGCGAAGGUCAUAAGCCCCAUCAAAGUUAAUCUUAAAGAAAGGUUCAUGAGGGAGUUCCCACUUAUCAUAAUUUCUCGUUCUGACACAGUUCUCCUUUCAUGUACGAGACGAUUUUGACUUGUCUAGAGUUUCCAAAGCCCUUGACAUAAUAUUCUACAUUGCUCACUGGUAGCAAUCCGAAACACACAGUCACGAAACACGUGGAUAGAAUCCUCCGUUGAAUUGCAGCAUCAUGGGCACAGAGUAUUCACUGCAAUCCUUCUGUAAUUUAGAUUGACUAGAGUAGGCAUAAAAUUCCAUGAAAAUCUCCAAAUUACAGUUUUAAUUUUCGGAGGUAUUUGUAAAUUCCAUAGCUUUUUGUAGAAAUGUCUAGAAUCAGUAUGUGAUAUAUUAUCAGUAGGAAGUAGGGAACAAUUUUUUAAUAGUUUAUAGAUGCUUCUCACAGCAAAAUCACCAGUCAUUUCGCCGCACCAAACUUGUAGAUCUUCAGAAAUUGUCCUCCCCAAUGGAAUUUGCAUAAUAGUAUUUGCGGCAUCUA